rnacentral:lncRNA from 10 species
CUGACCUUUUCCAUGAAUGUAUAUUUGCUACUUGUUCAUUCGUUCUGUCAUCUGCUGGCACUUGCUCUCUAGAAAUGUGAAAGGUCAUGAGCUCAUCCAGGACUUGCUAUCCUCCCUGCAUUUAGACAGUUCCUACCCACCUGAUGCUGGCCUGUCUGAUGAUGAUGAGCCUCCCAAUGCCAGCCUGCCCCCCGACCCGCCACUCCUCACUGUGCCCCAGAUGCACAGUGUUUGUGACCAGUGGCUGCAGGAUGCCUUCCACAUCAGCCUCUGAAGAGCUGGGGGUGGGUGGGCAUGCACCCAUGCAAAAGGCUCAGAGACUCCCCCUUCCAUAAGCCCUUAGACUGCAGUGCUUGUGCCUUUCCCCAUACUGCCUCACCUCACAGGAGGGCCAGGCACCACUUGUAUCUCUCAGAUGCAAAACUGCCAACCCCUUUCUCCUGUCUUGGGUUGGCUGGCACUGGGGCGGGCACCUAGGGUAUAGUCUCUGCCCAUGGCACUGGGCCUCCAUUUCUUCCACAUAUGUGUACCUCCAGCUUGGCCAACCCUCAGCCUGGCUGUGAGGCCCAAAGCAUCUUCCCUUCCCCUUGGAGUCUCUGGGAUUGGGAUGAGUGUCUGGCUCCCAUCUCCUUCUCCCCUUUUGUGGCUAUUGGCAGCUGCUGGCUCAGGGGCAUCCCACUUCCAGGCUCUGGGUUCCACUCUCAGGGAAGGGCUCUAGGACCCAUUCCUACACCCACCCACGGCCAGGAGGGCCAAGGUCCCAUGCUGGAUAUUUAAAUUUAGAGGCUGGCUUCCAGGGUGCAUAGAUAAAU